rnacentral:rRNA from 1 species
UACGUAGGGGGCAAGCGUUGUCCGGAAUCAUUGGGCGUAAAGCGCGUGUAGGCGGUGCGGUAAGUCCGGUGUGAAAGUCGGGGGCUCAACCCUCGAAUGCCGGUGGAUACUGUCGGGCUCGAGUGCGGGAGAGGCGAGUGGAAUUCCUGGUGUAGCGGUGAAAUUCGUAGAUAUUCGGAAGAACACCAGUGGCGAAGGCGACUUACUGGACGACUGUUGACGCUGAGGUGCGAAAGCGUGGGGAGCAAACAGG